CCGCAAAGGCCGAGUAGCGGGGGGCGCGGCCGACUGACGCACUUUUUUCUAACUUUUUUCAUUUUCUCACGCUGGGACACAAGUCUUAUAAUCAUAGAACAUUAUCAUUAGAUUUUACGAGCAUCGGAAGGUAUAGUUCCCGGCCCACCUUCGAGCUGUUACAGGUACCUUCGUUCGAGCUAAAGAGCAGCAAACACUAUGAGGAGUGUCGCUCACCA